AGGGUGCCAACAAUGGAGCCAAUCCCAGCUGACAUGGGGCGACAGGCGGGGUCAAGGUGGAGGGACCGAGCGUACAGCACAAACAUUACUCUCCUUCAGCCCUGUUCAUACCUGAUAUAAAUUCAUACCAUGUUAAUGUAACCAAAUUAAUGUUCCACACAGGUUGUAUGAAGGUUGUGGCAAAGUAACGUUGAGGGAACGAUCUGGGAACCAAAAAAAGGACGUUCUAUAAAGGUUGUAUGAAGGUUGUGACACAGUAACACGAAGGGGUUCUGGGAACCGAAUGUGCAACCAAAAACUAAUGUUAGGAGAACGUUAGGAAAACUUUCCAUAUCAACCACAGGACAAUCUAGGGGGGAACCUUCAGGGAACGUUCCCACAACCAAAAGGAACCUCUCCUAGAACAUUCUCAGUAUGUGCUCAACACUUGAUAGAGUACUUGAUAGACACAUCAUAGACCACGUUUGCUUUAGCCAACAUGGGUGGAUGCUGUCAUUUACGUCAUCUGAGCAGACUGACGAGCAGACACUAACAAUCAGACUUCUUGCUCCACCUUCAUUUAGAAGAACAUGUUUCUUUUGGACUGUGAUGUUCAUAUGAAGCAUCGUCACUAACAUGCUCAUCACAAUCCUUUAUCUGUCACUUAUUUUACAAUCAGGUCUAACCAUUGUGGUUCUGCAGUCUGGAGAUCAAGUGUCUCGGCCUGGUCUCACAGUGAAGCUGGACUGCAGCCUGGGUCCAGGGUUCAGCAUGGGCAGCCAAACCAUGUACUGGUACCGUCAACACCACUACGGAGCUCCAGUGGAGUUCCUCACCAAAGAAUACGAUCAAACUGCGGGGCGCUUCCAGUCCAACAUCAACUCAAACAAAAACAGCUUCCCUCUUAACAUCAGUGAGCUGAAUGUGAAUGACAGCAGCACCUACUACUGUGCUGCCAGUCACAGUGAUGCACACGCACCAGGCAAACAUACAAAUACUGAGCGUGAUGAUAGGAGAAGAUAUGCUGGCAGGAAGGAUCCGUGGCUUGGUUUGAGGUCUAACCAUUGUGGUUCUGCAGUCUGGGGAUCAAGUGUCUCGGCCUGGUCUCACAGUGAAGCUGGACUGCAGCCCGGAUACAAGGUUCAGCAUAGCCAGCCAAACCAUGUACUGGUACCGUCAACACCACUACGGAGCUCCAGUGGAGUUCCUCACCAAAGAAUACGAUCAAAGUGUGGGGCGCUUCCAGUCCAACAUCAACUCAAACGAAAACAGCUUCCCUCUUAACAUCAGUGAGCUGAAUGUGAAUGACAGCAGCACCUACUACUGUGUUGCCAGUCACAG